CGUGGUUCUUUCCUGGAACACUGAGCCUCUUCUUCGGAAUGCUGUAAAAGUCAACAGUGCCCGUGCCCACAAUGAAGAGGUUUAGGAGAUACUGCAGGAAAUGUUGGGGAGAGACCCACAGUUUGUUCACAGGAAUCACACUGCCCAGGCAUGGUUACCGUCCCUCCGAGGCUCCCGCUGUCCAAGGCUCAGCUCAGAGGGUAGCAGUGCUGGGUGGUGGUGGCUGCACUGAGAGGUAGGAACCGUGGGGAGGUUCACGGGUUGCUGAAUGUGUGCCUUUGAAUAGGAUGAUGAGUCCCGGCCCUUCCUCGACCAUGUACUUUCAUCAUGACAUCCUGUCUCAGUAUAGACCUAAAGCAAUAAAGCCACCAGCCACAUAGUAGAAUGUCUAAUACUGUGGGCCUAUAAACCUUCUCUGUAAGCUGCUUACCUCACGUUUAUCAACGUAGUGACAGAGGUCUGACUAACUGUUCUCAAAUAAUACUGCUCCUACUGUUGUCUCAUAGUAAAGGGGGCUUUCAGAAGGAACUAGUUCCUCCCUCAGGAAAGACAUGCUAGACCCAUGUGGAGGAAACAGAGUUUACAGUGAAUUGCAAGCACUUCAGGAGCUUCCAGUCUGUUCCUGUACUCCUUCUUCUCACUUUCAAGAGCUCAGGUCUUCCUAAGCCAGCAGACUUUCCUGGGGAGGAGGGCACACACAGCAACUUACUUC